GGUCACUGUCUGGAACUUGUCCAUCAUUAAGACAAGGGAAAGCUAUGUAAACCAUCUCUCAGUUCUUAAAGGCCCCUUAAAGAUGACAAUGUGAUAUAGAUUUCAUCUGCUGAAAUUUGAUUGACCAAGACACUCACAUUCCUGUACCUGAGAGAGAAAAAAGGAAUUCAAGCUCCAUGUCAGUAAUUGCCCCUCGUGAGCCAUGGCAGAGACAAGAGCCAACACACCCAGCUCCAUGUACCACAGUGAUCGCUGCAGCUUUCCCAAGAACAUCUGACCCUGGAAUCAAGCCAAGAUACUCAGCCAUGCUGCCAUGUGACACCUGAAUCAACAGGAAGCAGAGUCACAGCAGGUGACAAGGUCCACCAGGAGUUAGCACUGGAGAAACAGAGGUUGAAAACCUCUGCAAGCAAUCUGGUAAUCAAGCUCGGCUCAUCGCACUACAGAAGGUCAGCUUGAUGUCCAUCCUGUCAUGCAUGAGCAGGGUCCUCCAAGACCUGUACCAAGCUGCCUUGAGAUCCCAC